rnacentral:rRNA from 1 species
CAGUCGCCGCGGUAAUACGUAGGGUGCGAGCGUUAAUCGGAAUUACUGGGCGUAAAGCGUGCGCAGGCGGUUCGUUAAGACAGAUGUGAAAUCCCCGGGCUUAACCUGGGAACUGCAUUUGUGACUGGCGAGCUAGAGUAUGGCAGAGGGGGGUAGAAUUCCACGUGUAGCAGUGAAAUGCGUAGAGAUGUGGAGGAAUACCGAUGGCGAAGGCAGCCCCCUGGGCCAAUACUGACGCUCAUGCACGAAAGCGUGGGGAGCAAACAGGAUUAGAUACCCCAGUAGUCCCUGUCUCUUAUAA